AAAUCUCGAACCGAGCCUCUUUUGACUUGGUUUCGGACCGUUGGGAGUCUGCGGGCGACCCGCCAUGGGACGUCGGCUCUCCUGAAAUGCAUUAGCGGGUGGGCGCGUGACCCCUGCCCCUUCGACGUCAUAAUGAUCGUCGUGGGCGAACGAACCGUGUCCCGCGCUUCUCUAACUCGGCAGAGGGGAGCUUUCGUGCUCUUCUCCUUGCCCUUCGAAGGCUUGACCUCAAAUCAGG
rnacentral:misc_RNA from 1 species